GGGAGUAUGAUGUAGUGGAAGCAUACUAGACUUCGAAUCUAGCGGCCCGGGUUCGACCCCCGGUACUCUCA